rnacentral:rRNA from 1 species
AUGGUUAAGUUAGAAAGGGCGCACGGUGGAUGCCUUGGCACUAGGAGCCGAAGAAGGACGGGACUAACACCGAUAUGCUUUGGGGAGCUGUACGUAAGCGUUGAUCCAGAGAUUUCCGAAUGGGGGAACCCACUAUCUUUAGUCGGAUAGUAUCCUUACGUGAAUACAUAGCGUAAGGAAGGCAGACCCAGGGAACUGAAACAUCUAAGUACCUGGAGGAAGAGAAAGAAAAAUCGAUUUCCUGAGUAGCGGCGAGCGAAACGGAAAGAGCCCAAACCAAGAAGCUUGCUUCUUGGGGUUGUAGGACACUCUAUACGGAGUUACAAAGGAAUGUGGUAAACGAAGUGGUCUGGAAAGGCCCGCCAAAGAAGGUAACAGCCCUGUAAUUGAAAGCAUAUUCCCUCCAGAGUGGAUCCUGAGUACGGCGGAACACGUGAAAUUCCGUCGGAAUCCGGGAGGACCAUCUCCCAAGGCUAAAUACUCCCUAGUGACCGAUAGUGAACCAGUACCGUGAGGGAAAGGUGAAAAGCACCCCGGAAGGGGAGUGAAACAGUUCCUGAAACCGUGUGCCUACAAGUAGUUAGAGCCCGUUAAUGGGUGAUAGCGUGCCUUUUGUAGAAUGAACCGGCGAGUUACGAUUUGUUGCAAGGUUAAGCGGAAAAAGCGGAGCCGUAGCGAAAGCGAGUCUGAAUAGGGCGCAUGAGUAACAGGUCGUAGACCCGAAACCAGGUGAUCUACCCAUGUCCAGGAUGAAGGUGAGGUAAUACUCACUGGAGGUCCGAACCCACGCACGUUGAAAAGUGCGGGGAUGAGGUGUGGGUAGCGGAGAAAUUCCAAUCGAACCUGGAGAUAGCUGGUUCUCUCCGAAAUAGCUUUAGGGCUAGCCUCGAGGU